ACUAACCCUCAUCCUCAAUAGUAACAGAGUUUUUUUAAUCGUAAUUUGGUCUACUUUCAAGGGUUUUGGUUUGUUUGUUUUUCUUUUUUUUGGUUCAGGUAAGUUUCUUAUAAAGAGCAUAUAGUUGAGUCAGGGUUUUUAAUCCUGUCUUAUGAUCUCUGCCUUUUAAUAAGAAUAUUUUGUCAAUUUAUAUUUAAUGCAAUUAUCAAUAUGAUUGGGUGUAUUUUGUAUGUAUUGUUUCUUUUUCCUUUUUUUUUUUUUUUUUUUUUUUGAGAUGGAGUCUUGCUCUGUUGCCCGGGCUGGAGUGCAGUGGUGCAAUCAU
rnacentral:lncRNA from 1 species